rnacentral:lncRNA from 1 species
CGAGCAUUCAUUUCCAGAUCUCCUAAUGGGCAAAGAGACUAUAGAUGAGGCAGCAGUUUUGCCCUGGAGAAUGCAUAAGUGAUCUUUAUAGAAGGGAAGGAAAGGGGGCUCCUGAAGAAGGUGGCGAGACUGAGUGAGGCCCCUGGUGUUAAAAUGAGGCAGGACACUAUUCUGAAAAGCAAGGUGGAGGAAGGAGCUUUUCAACAUACUUGGGGAACGGUCAACUUACAUGUAAAACAGUGAAGGUAGGAAGAAAGCAAAAGGGUUGGGUGUAGCCUCUGGUAUUACUGCCAGAACAGGGAAUUGACACACACUCCAGCAGUGAAGGGGUUAACAGUGUGUUAGUCCUUAGUGAAACAAUUGUGACUCACAGCACAAACCAGGGGAUUCAGCUAUGCUAACAGCUCAGCAUGCGGGGUUAUAGUAACCUUUGUUCUGUUUUUUGCUCUCUCUCUUGUAUUCGUGGUCGGUCACUUCCUCUCUCUGCCUGCCUGUUUCCGCUGGCUCUGAGCAUCUCUGGUUUGUGUGGUCACGUGCUUGAGCUUAGAUGCCUUUAAUCCCACCCUCAUGGAGGGGGAGGAGGGAAACUGCAGGGCAGAAGUGAGCAACAAGCAGAGCUGCCAGGAUUUUCCCUAAUGGAGGCAAGGAUCCAGGAUGGUGAAACCUUGCAAUUUCAAGGAGCACUGGGAAAGGAAGAGAAGACACGCAGGAAUGAUGGGCUGCUUGGGUCCCAGGAGAACUGGUGCUGAUAGGAAAAGGGUUUGGAGAUAUCGGCUGGGCCUGGCUUGCACCGUGCCAUCUGUCUUCCUGUCUAGGGCAGGUGCUGAUAGAAUGAACACACUGAGGCAUGAGCACAAAAGAACG